GUUGGGUAGGGGAGCGUUCUGUAAGCCGUUGAAGGUGUCCUGUGAGGGGUGCUGGAGGUAUCAGAAGUGCGAAUGCUGACAUAAGUAACGAUAAAGCGGGUGAAAAGCCCGCUCGCCGGAAGACCAAGGGUUCCUGUCCAACGUUAAUCGGGGCAGGGUGAGUCGACCCCUAAGGCGAGGCCGAAAGGCGUAGUCGAUGGGAAACGGGUUAAUAUUCCCGUACUUGGUGUUACUGCGAAGGGGGGACGGAGAAGGCUAUGUUGGCCGGGCGACGGUUGUCCCGGUUUAAGCGUGUAGGUGUGUGUUCCAGGUAAAUCCGGUUCACUUUAACACUGAGGCGUGAUGACGAGGCACCACGGUGCUGAAGCAACAAAUGCCCUGCUUCCAGGAAAAGCCUCUAAGCAUCAGGUAACAUCAAAUCGUACCCCAAACCGACACAGGUGGUCAGGUAGAGAAUACCAAGGCGCUUGAGAGAACUCGGGUGAAGGAACUAGGCAAAAUGGUGCCGUAACUUCGGGAGAAGGCACGCUGACACGUAGGUGAAGUGAUUUACUCAUGGAGCUGAAGUCAGUCGAAGAUACCAGCUGGCUGCAACUGUUUAUUAAAAACACAGCACUGUGCAAACACGAAAGUGGACGUAUACGGUGUGACGCCUGCCCGGUGCCGGAAGGUUAAUUGAUGGGGUCAGCGCAAGCGAAGCUCCUGAUCGAAGCCCCGGUAAACGGCGGCCGUAACUAUAACGGUCCUAAGGUAGCGAAAUUCCUUGUCGGGUAAGUUCCGACCUGCACGAAUGGCGUAAUGAUGGCCAGGCUGUCUCCACCCGAGACUCAGUGAAAUUGAACUCGCUGUGAAGAUGCAGUGUACCCGCGGCAAGACGGAAAGACCCCGUGAACCUUUACUAUAGCUUGACACUGAACAUUGAGCCUUGAUGUGUAGGAUAGGUGGGAGGCUUUGAAGCGUGGACGCCAGUCUGCGUGGAGCCGACCUUGAAAUACCACCCUUUAAUGUUUGAUGUUCUAACGUGGACCCGUAAUCCGGGUUGCGGACAGUGUCUGGUGGGUAGUUUGACUGGGGCGGUCUCCUCCUAAAGAGUAACGGAGGAGCACGAAGGUUGGCUAAUCCUGGUCGGACAUCAGGAGGUUAGUGCAAUGGCAUAAGCCAGCUUGACUGCGAGCGUGACGGCGCGAGCAGGUGCGAAAGCAGGUCAUAGUGAUCCGGUGGUUCUGAAUGGAAGGGCCAUCGCUCAACGGAUAAAAGGUACUCCGGGGAUAACAGGCUGAUACCGCCCAAGAGUUCAUAUCGACGGCGGUGUUUGGCACCUCGAUGUCGGCUCAUCACAUCCUGGGGCUGAAGUAGGUCCCAAGGGUAUGGCUGUUCGCCAUUUAAAGUGGUACGCGAGCUGGGUUUAGAACGUCGUGAGACAGUUCGGUCCCUAUCUGCCGUGGGCGCUGGAAGACUGAGGGGGGCUGCUCCUAGUACGAGAGGACCGGAGUGGACGCAUCACUGGUGUUCGGGUUGUCAUGCCAAUGGCACUGCCCGGUAGCUAAAUGCGGAAAAGAUAAGUGCUGAAAGCAUCUAAGCACGAAACUUGCCCCGAGAUGAGUCUUCCCUGAGACCUUGA
rnacentral:rRNA from 2 species